rnacentral:rRNA from 1 species
AUUGAACGCUGGCGGCAGGCCUAACACAUGCAAGUCGAACGAGUGGCGGACGGGUGAGUAAUGUCUGGGAAACUGCCUGAUGGAGGGGGAUAACUACUGGAAACGGUAGCUAAUACCGCAUACCAUACGAUGUGCCCAGAUGGGAUUAGCUGGUUGGUGGGGUAACGGCUCACCAAGGCGAGUAUCCAUAGCUGGUCUGAGAGGAUGACCAGCCACACGGGAACUGAGACACGGUCCAGACUCAUACGGGAGGCAGCAGUGGUGAAUAUUGGACAAUGGGCGAAAGCCUGAUCCAGCCAUGCCGCGUGUGUGAAGAAGGUCUGCGGAUUGUAAAGCACUUUAAGUUGGGAGGCGUUACCAACAGAAUAAGCACCGGCUAACUUCGUGCCAGCAGCCGCGGUAAUAC